UACGUAGGGUGCGAGCGUUAAUCGGAAUUACUGGGCAUAAAGCGUGCGCAGGCGGUUUUGUAAGCCAGAUGUGAAAUCCCCGGGCUUAACCUGGGAACUGCAUUUGUGACUGCACGGCUGGAGUGCGGCAGAGGGGGAUGGAAUUCCGCGUGUAGCAGUGAAAUGCGUAGAUAUGCGGAGGAACACCGAUGGCGAAGGCAAUCCCCUGGGCCUGCACUGACGCUCAUGCACGAAAGCGUGGGGAGCAAACAGG
rnacentral:rRNA from 1 species